AGUGGCGGACGGGUGCGUAAUGUCUGGGAAACUGCCCGAUGGAGGGGGAUAACUACUGGAAACAGUAGCUAAUACCGCAUACCAUCGGAUGUGCCCAGAUGGGCUUAGCUAGUAGGUGGGGUAACGGCUCACCUAGGCGACGAUCCCUAUCUGGGCUGAGAGGAUGACCAGACACACGGGAACUGAGACACGGUCCAGAUCCCAACGGGAGGCAGCAGUGGGGAAUAUUGACCAAUGGGCGCAAGCCUGAUGCAGCCAUGCCGCUUGUAUGAAGAAGGCCUUCGGGUUGUAAAGUACUUUCAGCGAGGAGGCGUUACUCGCAGAAGAAGCACCGGCUAACGCCGUGCCAGCAGCGGCGGUAAUUC
rnacentral:rRNA from 1 species